AAUUCUUAAUUGUAGGUCUUCUGAGAGCUCUUUUGUGCGAGGCAUCAUUCACAUCAGGCAAUGCUUCUUGUGAAAAGCAAACCCAGAACUGGUGUGUGUUUUUUAUAGGGCAGGGCAGCUGUAACCAACACCUCCAAUCUCAUCUCAUUGAUUGGACUCCAGUUGGCUGACAUCUCACUCCAAUUAGCUCUUGGAGAUGUCAUUAGUCUAGGGGUUCACAUACUUUUUCCACCUGCACUGUGAAUGUUUACAUGGUGUGUUC